rnacentral:rRNA from 1 species
AGGCGGCCUAGUAAGUCAGAGGUGAAAGACGGUAGCUCAACUAUCGCAGUGCCUUUGAAACUGCCGGGCUUGAAUGUACUUGAGGUGGGCGGAAUGUGACAAGUAGCGGUGAAAUGCAUAGAUAUGUCACAGAACCCCCGAUUGCGAAGGCAGCUCACUAAAGUAUGAUUGACGCUGAUGCACGAAAGCGUGGGGAUCAAACAGGAUUAGAUACCCUGGUAGUCCACGCCCUAAACGAUGAAUACUCGAUGUUGGCGAUACACCGUCAGCGUCCACGCGAAAGCAUUAAGUAUUCCACCUGGGGAGUACGUCCGCAAGGAUGAAACUCAAAGGAAUUGACGGGGGCCCGCACAAGCGGAGGAGCAUGUGGUUUAAUUCGAUGAUACGCGAGGAACCUUACCCGGGCUUGAAAGUUAGCGAAGAUUCCAGAGAUGGGAUCGUCCUUCGGGACGCGAAACUAGGUGCUGCAUGGCUGUCGUCCGCUCGUGCCGUGAGGUGUUGGGUUAAGUCCCGCAACGAGCGCAACCCCUAUGUUUAGUUGCCAGCACGUAAUGGUGGGGACUCUAGACAGACUGCCUGUGCAACCAGAGAGGAAGGUGGGGACGACGUCAAGUCAUCAUGGCCCUUACGUCCGGGGCUACACACGUGCUACAAUGGUCGGUACAGAGGGCAGCUACCUGGCAACAGGAUGCCAAUCUCAUAAAGCCGAUCACAGUUCGGAUCGGGGUCUGCAACUCGACCCCGUGAAGUUGGAUUCGCUAGUAAUCGCAGAUCAGCAAUGCUGCGGUGAAUACGUUCCCGGGCCUUGCACACACCGCCCGU